AGGCACGCAGACACACAGCGUGAGAGCGAGAGUUUUGAGAUAAAAGAAGAAGUUGGCGCGGCGACAGGAAUAUCUGGAAGCGAGCGACGCGCGAGCAGAGCACCGCCCCCCGGCCCGGCCGCGUUCCAUUCCGUUCCGUGGCGGCAUCCGCGCCACCGCGUGUGCUUUACAGGGGUAAUCCCCGCGGGUUACAGUUAUGCAGCGAACCACCGCCACCGCCACCGCCACGCCCGAGCGCGUCUCCGUUCGCCCUCGCUUUCUUCGUCCGCUCGCGCUCGACGCGACAUGCAUGCUGCAGCCUGCAGGCUGCAGUGCACCAACGCUGCGCGCACCGGGGGCCCUGCGCCGCUUUCUCCAACCGUCGCGUCAAUUGUUCGGUGCCACCGGCCAUCGCUGUCUCGAGGGGUUUCAGAUACGGUAAUGAUCACUCUGUCUUGAGCUGAUAUAAUAGUGGAUUAAUUAAUAAAUAAAGUAAUACAGUACCCCCUGAUGUUUUUCCCCUUCAUUUUUGGAACCAAAAAAAAUCCUGUUGCAGGAGGGGCCGAGGGGGAAAAGACGAGGGAUGUCGGAACGGGCAGGCACGGGCCGCAGGGAAUGGUACUACAUGAUACUAGCAUGGUAGGUACUGCAGGUUCAACGAGGGGCGGCAGAGACGUGGCCGGCUAAACAAAUUCGGAUUAAGGGCUGGGCACCCCAUCACCGCGAUGCCAGGGAGCAUGUGGGGAACGGACAAGCGGAGAGAAGCUGGGCAGAGGCAUCCAGUCCAGCCUGCGGAUCCAUCACCCGCCCGUCCGCUCAGUCCGCAAGCGGAAAGAUGCCGUCCGCCUCGCCCUCGCCGCUCAAGGAGCCCCCCGAGGAAUAGGAUUAGGCUAACCACCCGAGAGACAGCGGCUGUGCGCGCAUGAUUAUAGGGCCUCGUGAGAAAGCGGGCGCAUCGGUAUUAGCGUAAAGCGGCUGUGGACUACUAGGAUAGGCACCGCACCUCACCGGUCCCAAUCAUGCGUGCCUGUGGCUGGGUGUACGUGUACACUCGCCAUCUAUCUAUCCCAAACUUGGUGCUUUUGGUGUCUUGGUGCCUUUUUGUGAAGGAGGGACAUAGGAUGGAAACAGAGUUGUUUACUCAACGGCUUCUUCCACCAUGAAAGCUCCAAAAGCACAUACACAGUACGUACGCUACACGUUCAGCCAGCAAAGCCAAACGAGCGAGUCACGCGUACAUGCACGGAGCUGCGAGUUGACGCUGCGACAGUAGGAGUAGGAAUGUAGGAUGGUCACGCUCUCGCUCUCGCGC
rnacentral:lncRNA from 1 species